CCCUUAGAUGUUCUGGGCCGCACGCGUGCUACACUGAGUGGAUCAGCGGGUCAGGUUGCGCGAAAGCGUUUCCUAAUCUUUAAAUCCGCUCGUGAUGGGGAUUGACGGUUGCAAUUUUCUGUCAUGAACGAGGAAUACCUUGUAGGCGCGGGUCAUCAUCCCGCGCUGAAUACGUCCCUGCCCUUUGUACACACCGCCCGUCGCUCCUACCGAUUGAGUGGUCCGGUGAGGCUUUGGGAUCUGAGCGGAAAGAGCGUUUCGCUGUUUCUGCUCGGAAAACUCAGUCGAACCUUAUCAUUUAGAGGAAGGAGAAGUCGUAACA
rnacentral:rRNA from 1 species